rnacentral:rRNA from 1 species
UACGUAGGGCGCGAGCGUUGUCCGGAAUUAUUGGGCGUAAAGAGCUCGUAGGUGGUUGGUCGCGUCUGCCGUGAAAACCCAUGGCUUAACUGUGGGCUUGCGGUGGAUACGGGCCGACUUGAGGUAGGUAGGGGAGAAUGGAAUUCCCGGUGUAGCGGUGAAAUGCGCAGAUAUCGGGAGGAACACCGGUGGCGAAGGCGGUUCUCUGGGCCUUACCUGACGCUGAGGAGCGAAAGCGUGGGGAGCGAAACAGG